rnacentral:lncRNA from 1 species
GACAGCCGAGAUAAAGGCGGACGGUGUAAGAGAGCUGCUGAUGAGAGAGGUUAAAUGAAACUACAUUUUGCUUGCUUACAGCCCCCUGGGUGUUCUUUCAGCUAUUCACCCACCCGCCCACUCCCCUCGGACCUCAAUAUGGGCGCGAACCUGACUCUGGACCUGACAAUUGGCGUAGCCGGGGACCUAAUAACUAUCUUGAUGCCAUCCGCCAGGACCUGAGAAGAGUUUGGGCCCUUUAGUGGGGACCCUGGGGAUGAACUUGCUGUGCUGGCUGCACCGCUCUGGGACGCCGGGACCUCCUCACUGAAGUUACAUGGGGGAAGAACCCAGGAGGCACCUUGACAUAGGGACCAGGACAUGAGUUCUUCUUCUGUGAGACGAGUGUUAGCCGAACCUUGGCACCUAGAUAAUUUUUUGGUGGCUGUAGGAGAGAAAGCCCUGCUCACCUCAUUCCGUGGGACAAAGUUUUUCUGCUGUCUCCAAGGAUACAGAGCCCUUCCCCAUAGAGAACAAGCAUGGAGACAGAAUGACAAGGUUAAAAAUUUCAAGUGAUCAAGGAUCAUAGAAUCCACUUUCUAACCAUCUAAAGCUUCCCAUGGAAUCAUGCUUGCAUAUGGGAUUUCCACUUAUAAGGCUCUGAGCCUUCCCCUCGAAGACACUCACUGCAUGCUUUGCUCUACUGAAUGAGGCCAAUGGCCAGAAGAUCUCAAGGUGUGGGUCUCUGGCCAUCUGCAUCAGAAUAACCUGGGGAACCUGGUACCUGUUAAAAAUGCAGAGCCUCCAAUCCAGACCUAUGGACCCACUUCUGGGGAUGAGAAAUGAUAAUCUGAAUUUUUAGUAGUUCCUCAAUUAUUGUUAUUCCUGAUGCUUAAGAAAGUUUAAGAACUGGCUCUCAGCUAAGGAAUGUUGAGGGUGGGGGCUGUCUGGUGCUAAGAAAGCCUUCAGGUCCCCAUAUGCACAAGCAGCCAUUGAUCCCUGCUCUUCUGUAUUCCCUGGUCAUUGCACAAACCCCUCUGCCUCCCCUACACCUGAACCCAUCAUCUGCC